GAUCAUUCUAAAAAAUAUAUAAAACUUGUUCAUGUUUCUGUACAAGUCAGUCAGGCUCUAUCUGGCUCAAUCCAUGAUCAUGUCUGUCCGCAAUGCUUAAAGGGAGUGAAUAAAUAAAUAAGUAAUAUGAAUUUUUCUAUCACCUAGUUCUGUUUGCCUCCUUUAACCAACUUUCAGGUUUAACAGUUAUGGUGCCGUGAGCUGCGGAUGGAAAUGAUGGAAUCGGGACAAAUAACUGCAAGCCCAAUCCUGCCAACGCCAUUCUUAGGCACCUCAGGAUUUAUUUUUUCCUAGAAUCUUGGCCUUGACGAGAUGGGGGAACUUUUGUUGAAUGCUUACCCCAGUGGUUCAAAUCUUUCUUCCUAGAGCACCUACUCUGGGGCUCCUUCGUCCUGAUUGGGAUUUGCCUCACUUGCCCACCACAUCUAGAUCAAAUGAAUGCCUCUGUGCCAGUUAAAGAGAAUGGGGGAAUUUUCAAGGUUUUAGAAAAUUCUGAAGAUUCAGUUGCUGAUUAUGAUGUAAACAAUGACCUCAAAGAAAGUCCUUCUGCACAUAAAGUGAUUUACCUGUUGGUUUAUCUACCUUUUAGUUUUCAGUUGCAUGUAACAGACUACAUAUGUAACAGGUGCAGUCCCAACAGAUGGUAGGUUUCUGAACAAAAGAAAAAAAAAUGUUAGAUUAAGGUUUUCAGGUUCCUUUUGAGUUCUAGUAGUGUUCUUGAUAAAGGCCAUUGUAUACUUAACCAUUUUACACUUUAAAUACUUAAACAUUGUAUACUCAAGCCAGAUUUAUAUAAUCUCCUUUGGAAGUUUUUGCAUGUCUUUCUGCAUUCCCCCUUUUACCUCUGCCAGGAACACAGUUUGCAGAUAAUUUGUUUCAGUUAGAGUUGGGGAUAGAAUGGGAAAAAGGGAGAGAUCUGGAAUAUGGUUUAUUAUUUUGAACAAAAAAAAAUUGUGUAAUUUUAGUGUCCAUUGCUGCAAGAUGUUUUACCAAAUAAAUGUUCUUUGUUGUUA